rnacentral:rRNA from 1 species
GACGAACGCUGGCGGCGUGCUUAACACAUGCAAGUCGAACGGAAAGGCCCUGCUUUUGUGGGGUGCUCGAGUGGCGAACGGGUGAGUAACACGUGAGUAACCUGCCCUUGACUUUGGGAUAACUUCAGGAAACUGGGGCUAAUACCGGAUAGGAGCUCCUGCUGCAUGGUGGGGGUUGGAAAGUUUCGGCGGUUGGGGAUGGACUCGCGGCUUAUCAGCUUGUUGGUGGGGUAGUGGCUUACCAAGGCUUUGACGGGUAGCCGGCCUGAGAGGGUGACCGGCCACAUUGGGACUGAGAUACGGACCAGACUCCUACGGGAAGCAGCAGUGGGGAGUAUUGCAGAAUGGGCGGAAGCCUGAUGCAGCAACGCCGCGUGCGGGAUGACGGCCUUCGGGUUGUAAACCGCUUUGGCCUGUGACGAAGCGUGAGUGACGGUAAUGGAUAAAGAAGCACCGGCUAACUACGUG